rnacentral:rRNA from 1 species
UCCAGACUCCUACGGGAGGCAGCAGUGGGGGAUAUUGCACAAUGGGGGGAACCCUGAUGCAGCGACGCCGCGUGGGUGAAGGAGCGUUUCGGCGCGUAAAGCCCUAUCGGCAGGGAAGAAGGAGGACGGUACCCGACUAAGAAGCCCCGGCUAACUACGUGCCAGCAGCCGCGGUAAUACGUAGGGGGCAAGCGUUAUCCGGAUUCACUGGGUGUAAAGGGAGCGUAGACGGCGGCGCAAGUCUGGAGUGAAAGCCCGGGGCCCAACCCCGGGACUGCUCUGGAAACUGCGGCGCUGGAGUACGGGAGGGGCAGGCGGGAUUCCUGGUGUAGCGGUGAAAUGCGUAGAUAUCAGGAGGAACACCGGCGGCGAAAGCGGCCUGCUGGGCUUUUACUGACGCUGAGGCUCGAAAGUGUGGGGAGCAAACAGGAUUAGAUACCCUCGUAA